rnacentral:rRNA from 1 species
UGAAUACGAGACGCUAAGGCGUCGAAGUAGUGUAUGUCAUACUUCCAAGAAAAGCUUGCACUGUCAUAGAUAAAAAACGCCUGUACCAUAACCGACACAGGUGGGUAGGUAGAGUAUACUAAGGGGCGCGAGAUAACUCUCUCUAAGGAACUCGGCAAAAUAACUCCGUAACUUCGGGAGAAGGAGUGCCUUAUUCGUAAGGUUGCAAUAACAAGAUCCAAGCAACUGUUUAUCAAAAACACAGGUCUCCGCUAAGUCGUAAGACGAUGUAUGGGGGCUGACGCCUGCCCAGUGCCAGAAGGUUAAAGAAGUUGGUUAGCAAUUGCGAAGCUGAUAACUGAAGCCCUGGUGAACGGCGGCCGUAACGAUAACGGUCCUAAGGUAGCGAAAUUCCUUGUCGGGUAAGUUCCGACCCGCACGAAAGGCGUAAUGAUUUGGAUACUGUCUCGGAGAGGGGCUCGGUGAAAUAGACUUGUCUGUGAAGAUGCGGACUACCUGCACCAGGACAGAAAGACCCUAUGAAGCUUUACUGUAACUUGAAAUUGAAAUUGGACUUUAUUCGCGCAGUAUAGGUGGGAGGCGUUGAUUAUAAUCUUGUGGGAUUAUUGGAGCCAUCAGUGAGAUACCACUCUUGUAAUGUUAGAUUUCUAACUUUGAAUCAUUAUCUGGUCAAAGAACAGUUUCAGGCGGGCAGUUUGACUGGGGCGGUCGCCUCCUAAACGGUAACGGAGGCGUACAAAGGUUUCCUCUGAACGGUUAGAAAUCGUAUCUAGAGUGUAAAGGCAUAAGGAAGCUUGACUGUGAGACCUACAAGUCGAGCAGGGACGAAAGUCGGUCUUAGUGAUCUGACGGUACUGAGUGGGAAGGCCGUCACUCAACGGAUAAAAGUUACUCUAGGAUAACAGGCUGAUCUCCCCCAAGAGUUCACAUCGACGGGGAGGUUUGGCACCUCGAUGUCGGCUCAUCGCAUCCUGGGGCGGUAGUACGUCCCAAGGGUUGGGCUGUUCGCCCAUGAAAGCGGUACGCGAGCUGGGUUCAGAACGUCGUGAGACAGUUCGGUCCAUAUCCGGUGUAGGCGUUAGAAUAUUGAGAGGAGCCUUCUUUAGUACGAGAGGACCGAGAAGGACAUACCUCUGGUGUACCAGUUAUCGUGCCAACGGUAAACGCUGGGUAGCUAUGUAUGGAGUGGAUAACCGCUGAAAGCAUCUAAGUGGGAAGCCCCCCUCAAGAUAAG